rnacentral:tRNA from 1 species
AGAAAGGUAAGCUAAGAAAGCUUACGGGUUCAUACCCCGUCUAUAGAGGGCACCCCUCUUCUCUCUA